AUGGAUGUCCCAUUCUCUUCUGAUUUGGAUCUUCUUGACAACAACCUAAAACUUAGAAAUCCUGCAUCAGUUACUACGCAUCAUUCCCUGCUCGACUUACGCAGUCCUGUGCUUCGAUAACAGUCUGUACAUUGUCAAAAAGUACACAGUUAUGUAACUUAUUGUUACCGAAUAUAAUUUGAUUUGAAUUGAUCAGCAUUGCUGGUGCAAUAUUCACUAGUGUUGUAUAGAUUCUGAUUUUAUUUUGAUUAUACUGUUCUGCUGAACUGAACAAAAAAAAAAGGUCUGUGUACAGAGCCCUGUGGCAUGGAAUGGCAAUAUCCUUUAUGUAUGAAACACUGAUAGUUUUGAUUAGCUUCUUCGGGAUAGAGACAUGGAUUGGUCCUUUGAGCUCAAAUGGCAUCAUUUAUUUGGUAUCGUAUUCAUAAACUGAAAAACAGGGUGGGCCAUAAAAAAAUAACCCCAUAUGUUAAAAUAAGCAUAUAAUCCAAUGCUUUUUUUAUGCUGAUUUCCCUUAAGAACUGUGGCUGAGAAAUUGUUGUUGGUGUUUCUCUUGCCUUCAUGUGCGUUGCCGUGCGUUGUGGUAUAGAUUACAGACGUGGCUCAGAUCCCGCAUUGGAGUGGCUGUGGUGUAGGCGGCCAGCUGUAGCUCCAGUUCGACCCAUAGCCUGAGAACUUCCAUAGCUGCAGGUCCAGCCCUAAAAAGACAACAGCAACAACAACAAAAAAGCCACACCGGUACUGGGUUCACAGGAAAGUAGAUGUGUGAUGCAGUAUUAAUUAUUGGGCCAGUAAAAUGUCUCUAGUUUAGGCUUUUGGAGAGAAAGUCAUUUUACAUUAAUUUGACCUAAAUUACGGGAUCCUUCUAAGAAAACAAGUUGUGUUGCUUCAAGGCAUAUAAGUUGUUGACUAAAGGUUGUUUCCAAUUCAUAAACACAGCUUGACAGAAACUGGCAAUGACCAUUUGUUAUCAGCACAGUUAAUGCAAAAAUGGAUGCUCGGAAAAGCCUGAUGUUUUCCCAUGAAUAAAUGAAACAUCUGCCUACAAUCCUAUUUACGUCACUGACUUAUGUGCUGGUCCCCUUUUCUCUCACCAUGCAUAAUUCUCCUCACUCAUUUGAGGGGAAGGAAAAAAAAAAAAACACAAUUAAAACUUUGCUCACCUUCUUUUUCCUGCCUCGAGAUAAUUCUUGCUUCCCGAGGAGAUACGGAGGGAGGAGGCUUUCAGAACCCCGUGUUGCUCCUUCCUUGAAGCAGGAAGGCUCUAGAUAAAAAACAGAGCCAAUGACGUUGGUAUAUUUAUUUUGGCUCUAACUAAGGGUUGGUUUUUUUUUUUUUCCUAUUAAUAAAAAUACUACUUUAGUGGUUACCGUGGGGAGGGGCUAAGAAGGGGGUUGAGAGACACAAACUACUAUGUAUAUAAUAAAUAAGCUACUAGGAUAUAUUACACAGCACGGGGACAAUAGCCCAUCUUUUGUAGUCACUACACAUGGAGUAUAACCUUUAAAAAUGAUGCAUCACUGUGCUGUACACCUGAAGCUUAGAGUAUAAAUCAGCUACACCUCAAUUUUUUAAAUACUUCAAACUUUAAAAAAAUUCAAAACAUCCAUAAAUAAAAAUAAAAGCAAAAAGCUGAGGAUUAAAAAAAAAAAUGUCACUUAACUUACCUUGUCUUCAUCAAACGGGCAGAGGGUCAAUUAAAAUUGUCAUUUGUGGUGUCCGGGCUCCUCCCCAAGGCUGGAGUAGUAGGCGUCACAAAACUGGGCAAAACUCACUCGUGGGUCCUUUUUCUCAGCUGCUUCUGCCUUUGCUUCCUACAAAGCUCUCUUUCCCAGCUGCCUGGGGAAAACGAGGACUUUGGUGUUGAAAUAACUCCUCUGGAACCUACAGUUGUGCCAUAAAAACAUCUGUGCACACACGAAGUGUCAUCCUCUUGAAUGGUCAUGUUUCUUAGUGAAUUUUAUUUCUGUGCCUCGUGAAAGGUCCAUGUUAAAGAUGCCCCUGGCAUGAGUCAGUACACGCCACUGGGACACACAUCAGUGAGGUCUUCUGUAUCAAUAUCCAACGUCUGUGGAAGCGGUCUCCAAAAUUUGCAUUCAGUUCCUUUUAUAAGAAAUUAAGUUUUGUAGUUCCUGUUGUGGAUCAGCAGGUUAAGAACCCAACCUAGUGUCCCUGAGGAUGCAGGUUUAAUCCUUGGCCUCACUCAGUGGGUUAAGUGAUCUGGCAUUGCCGGGAGCUGUGGUGUAGGCUCGGAUCUAGCGUUGGCUGUGGUGUAGGCCAGCAGGUUGCAGCUCCAAUUCGACCCCUAGCCAGGGAACAUCCAUAUGCUUCAGGUGCAGCCCUAAC
rnacentral:lncRNA from 1 species